UUGACUAUUUUAUAGUGCUUCAGAAGAUAGUUACAGAGAGUUUUGUGCUUUCGGCAGGCCUAAGGCGCCCCGCCCUGGGGCGACCUGCCGAGGCAACAAGAAAUGACCACAGUGGUUUAGGGGUUUUCAACCUGUAAUGAUCCCUCCGCUGGUUCACCAACGGAGA
rnacentral:misc_RNA from 1 species